rnacentral:rRNA from 1 species
AUGCUUCUCCUAAAGACUAAGCCAUGCAUGCCUUCGAAUAAGAAGAGUGUCUCUCUCUGAAUCUGCGUACGGCUCCGCAAACCAGUUGUAAACUAUAGCAAACAGAUCGUCGGGGUAGCCUAAAAACUCAGCUGAUGGUCUACAAGGAUAUCCCUGGUAAUUCUGAGGCUAAUACAAGAACGUACUCACCUGUCUGGGGGCAAUUUUUUAAUCCCCGGGUCGGGGGCGCGCGGUCUUAGUCGCAAAUUUCUGGGAAUAGCCGCAUGCUCGGACCACCAUACAAGCAGACCGGUCAGGAACCUUCGGGGGAAUGGCCCGCCUGGGUGGCUUUUGCGGUGUGCAUCUGACCUAUCAACUAGAUGGCAGCAUAAAGGACAUGCUAUGGUAACAACGGGUACAGAGGAUAAGGGUUCGAUCCUGGAGAGUGGGCCUGAGAGAUUGCUCACACUUCUAAGGAAGGCAGCAGGCGCGCAACGUUCCCAUUGGGCAAUGCCCGAGGGCGUUAGGGGACAUAUGAAUGUCUGCCAAUUGGUGGACAAUUCAAAUGGGUCUGUUCUAAACAGCCUC